UUUGAACCCAAGAUCCCUCCACAGCAGAUUCCCACACUCCUUCUGGCAGCAUGCCAAUACACGCCCCCGCACGCUCCAAUAGCUCCACGCCCACUCUUCGCCGCAGCUGCAGGAGGCCUGUCAUCAGAGCACCUGGCAGCAAUCAAGGGAGCAGCAUAAAGUCCACUCACUCCUUGGAUCCUUUGCCAGAACGUCGUUAACUCCUCGUAUUGCCUCCCUCGAUCCUCGACCACUCGCCUGGACUUGGACCUCGUUGCUUGCCGCCUGCCUCUCCGCCUUUCCCCGUAUCCUUCUUGUGCCUACCCUUCCUUGACCAGACGAAGGUUUUAUUCAGCAUUUAGAAUAAAAGUGUCACGGCGCGGAUUCGAAACCAAGAUCCUUCCACAGCAGAUUCCCACACUCCUUCUGGCAGCAUGCCAAGACACGCCCCCGCACGCUCCAAUAGCUCCAAGCCCACUCUUCGCCGCAGCUGCAGGAGGCCUGUCAUCAGAGCACCUGGCAGCAAUCAAGGGAGCAGCAUAAAGUCCACUCACUCCUUGGAUCCUUGGCCAGAACGUCGUUAACUCCUCGUAUUGCCUCCCUCGAUCCUCGACCACUCGCCUGGACUUGGACCUCGUUGCUUGCCGCCUGCCUCUCCGCCUUUCCCCGGAUCCUUCUUGUGCCUACCCCUCCUUGACCAGACAAAGGUUUUAUUCAUCAGGCACAUAAAACACCCUCUUGCAUUAUUCACAUGGUUAAUUGUACACCUAAUCCUGCAGCCAAUCUUUUAGAGUAGCAUACACAUCCCACACAAUCAUCAAAAGUUCCAAUAAACUUGGUAACCUUAA